CAACUGCUCCCACCGCCUCCGGUUCGGUGCGGUUCCCGAGCCCUGUUCGUGCCGUCGAUCCGGGCGCGGCUGCCGCUACUGCUCGCCUCGCCGCACGCCAUCUCCAGCCCCAGCCCAGACUAGCUGCACCAUCCGUAAGCAGGCCCAUGCAAACUGUUACUUCCUCAAGGAGCAGGUCCCCGCCACUUUUAUCAAAUCAGCGUUCGGACUUUACUGCGGAAAAUGACAAUGGUAUGGGACAAAGAAGGUUGGUGAACUAUGCAGAUCCAUUGUUUGAAAAUGGAAGUGUGCAACCCACAGUGCAAAUGAGGAUGCAACCUCCAGAUAUUGGAAAAACAGCAAGAUCACCGCCAUUAGACAUGACCAGGCAGUUUAGACCUUCAUCAAGCUUUC